UACGGAGGGUGCGAGCGUUGUCCGGAAUCACUGGGCGUAAAGGGCGCGUAGGCGGUUCAUCAAGUCGGGCGUGAAAGGCCUGGGCUCAACCCGGGAAUGGCGCUCGAGACUGGUGGGCUUGGAGUCCGGGAGAGGAUGGUGGAAUUCCCAGUGUAGAGGUGAAAUUCGUAGAUAUUGGGAAGAACACCGGUGGCGAAGGCGGCGACCUGGUCCGAUACUGACGCUGAGGCGCGAAAGCGUGGGGAGCAAACAGG
rnacentral:rRNA from 1 species